GUGGGUGGGAAAAUGUUACAGUAGCUUUGGAACUUUACUUUGCUAAGACUUUGAAACAAGUGAUCUCUUUCAGGUGUAUUUGGUCUAUUUUACUGGCUUAACCGAAUUAUGAUUGGUUACAUGUUUUGAUACCAUCGAAGAUAUAUUUCAAUUGGCUGAAAGAUAAUUGGUCAUGAGAUGUGCACGUGUACGCUUUGCCAAUACAAAGAUGACCUUUGAUACAAAUGACAGCUGUGGGUCUGUGACCUUUGUA